rnacentral:snRNA from 1 species
AUGCUCACUCCAGCAGCACAAAUACUAGAAUUGGAAUGAUACAGAGAAGAUGAGCAUGGCCCCUACGCAAAUUUGUUUCACAUUUUAAAAAUUAAAU